rnacentral:rRNA from 1 species
UACGUAGGGUGCGAGCGUUAAUCGGAAUUACUGGGCGUAAAGCGUGCGCAGGCGGUUUUGUAAGCCAGAUGUGAAAUCCCCGGGCUUAACCUGGGAAUGGCAUUUGGGACUGCAAGGCUGGAGUGCGGCAGAGGAGACUGGAAUUCCUGGUGUAGCAGUGAAAUGCGUAGAUAUCGAGAGGAACACCUGCGGCGAAGGCGGGUUGCUGGGCUGACACUGACGCUGAGGCGCGAAAGCCAGGGGAGCGAACGGG